rnacentral:rRNA from 1 species
AUGACGGUACCGUUUGUAAGCUCCGGCUAACUCCGUGCCAGCAGCCGCGGUAAUACGGGGGGAGCAAGCGUUGUUCGGAUUUACUGGGCGUAAAGGGCGCGUAGGCGGCCAGUGCAAGUCAGUUGUGAAAUCUCCGGGCUUAACCCGGAAAGGUCAACUGAUACUGCUCGGCUAGAGUGCGGAAGGGGCAACUGGAAUUCUUGGUGUAGCGGUGAAAUGCGUAGAUAUCAAGAGGAACACCUGCGGCGAAGGCGGGUUGCUGGGCCGACGCUGACGCUGAAGCGCGAAAGCUAGGGGAGCGAACGGGAUUAGAUACCCCGGUAGUCCUAGCCUUAAACGAUGAAUGCUUGGUGUCUGGGGUUUUAUAGUCCCCGGGUGCCGUCGCUAACGCUUUAAGCAUUCCGCCUGGGGAGUACGGUCGCAAGACUGAAACUCAAAGGAAUUGACGGGGACCCGCACAAGCGGUGGAGCAUGUGGUUUAAUUCGACGCAAUGCGAAGAACCUUACCUGGGCUAGAAUGCCUCUGACAGCCCCAGAGAUGGGGUCUCUUGGGUAAAACCAGGCAGAGUGCAA